AUGAAGCGCCUCUUCCGACGGCUCUCCCGCGUCGCCGCGGCCGACUCCUCCUCCGCGGCUGCCGCCACGGCGUACCGGCAGCUCCGCGCGCCGAAGCAGUCCGCGUCGGCGGCCGGCGGCGGCUGCGCCAAGGUGCCGCAGGGGCACGUGCCGGUGUGCGUCGGCGAGGAGGGCGGGCCCGUGGAGCGGUUCGCGGUGCGCGCGGACCUGCUGGGCCGGCCGGCCUUCGCGGCGCUGCUCCUGCGCGCCGCCCAGGAGUACGGCUACGGCCACCCCGGCGCGCUCCGCAUCCCCUGCCCCGUCGCCGACUUCCGCCGCCUCCUCGUCCGCCUCUCCGACGACCCCUACGCCGACGAGUGCUAG
rnacentral:rRNA from 1 species